rnacentral:rRNA from 1 species
UGGGGAAUAUUGGACAAUGGGGGAAACCCUGAUCCAGCAAUGCCGCGUGAGUGAUGAAGGCCUUCGGGUUGUAAAGCUCUUUUGUCAGGGACGAUGAUGACGGUACCUGACGAAUAAGCUCCGGCUAACUUCGUGCCAGCAGCCGCGGUAAUACGAGGGGAGCUAGCGUUGUUCGGAAUUACUGGGCGUAAAGGGCGCGUAGGCGGCCUUGUAAGUCAGAUGUGAAAGCCCCGGGCUUAACCUGGGAGGUGCAUUUGAAACUGCAAGGCUUGAGAUCGAGAGAGGAAAGUGGAAUUACGAGUGUAGAGGUGAAAUUCGUAGAUAUUCGUAAGAACACCAGUGGCGAAGGCGACUUUCUGGCUCGAUACUGACGCUAAGGCGCGAAAGCGUGGGGAGCAAACA